CUUACUUAUUAUAUUUAGCCUGAGGACUGAUUCAAUCUUUUCCUGCUGAUGUUGGACUACAGCUGUCAAACUCCUCAGGGCGGGCUCCUGUGUUUACUUUCACAGAGGAGAGAGAGAGAGAAAGAGAGAGAGAGAGAGAGAGAGAGAGAGAGAGAGAGAGAGAGAGAGAGAGAGAGAGAGAGAGAGAGAGCUCACACAGGCUUGGGUACACGCUGCAAACACAAAGGACAUGGAGAAGCACUGUCCACACAUUCAGACUCUUAAUGGUGCAGAUUUUUCAACUCUUUAUUUUCUGUUACUUGUAUCAUUCACAGUCUGAUUUGAGCUGGUGUCUCUGCAGUUACAACGCUUAGUUAUGGAUCACAGUCUUCGGUGAACUUUAUCCUCUUGUUAUCAAGCUGACUUGUUAUCAGCUCAUGGUGUGUGAGCUCCCAGUGAAAUGAUGUGGCAGUUGCAGCUGUACUUUGACUUCGUCUGAGCUGUGUUCCAGCAGCAGGAGUAAACCCAUCAUGGAUCACAGAGGUCACCCCUGGCCUGACCCUGGCCAUCAGUACCCCCAAAGGACUAAAGACAGAGAGGAUUACAGCAGGUACCCUCAGCAGGAGUGGGACCAGAGCUGUCCACCUCCAGACCCCAGAGAGAGGGACAGACCCUGGGCUCAUCCCGAUGCCUGCUACAGGCCUCACUACGCCAGUCCUCCUGCCAGACCUGAGCAGUAUCCCUCCAACUACCAGCAGUAUCCCUACGGCCAUGGGCGGGCAGACCACAAAAGACCCCAGUCCAGACAUGGGUACGACUAUCCACCACACAGCCACUGGGACUACAGAGACAACUAUGGUUAUUACGAUCAGGACUACUACAGAGGACAGCACAGUCGACAAGAUGCUGCCCAGCAGACUCCCCAAGAAUCACGGAGAGCAGAUGGUUAUCAUGACAGAAACUACAAGCAGGAACACUCAGGGAGCUCCUACUUAGAGGAGAACAGGUAUGACCACUUGAGAGACAACUCCCAGCAUCACAUCAAUAAAUAUGAAGAAACUCCUUCCAGGGAGAAUGAAGAAGUUUCCUCUUAUCACCUGGGGACAUUAGAAAGUUCUAAAACCUCAGGGUUGUCUUCCAGCUGCUAUGAACUGAGUCAAUACAUUGAUGGAAGUGAACACAGCGACUCUGUGCCACCGACUGUUCACGCCUCUGAUGAAGACCAUGGAGCCGUACAUCAGACGUCAGCUCCUCUGAAGUACUCGGUCCCUCACGCUGUGGUCAGCUUCGGACCUGCAGGACAGCUGAUUCGAGUCACUCCGGGCUUUACCACACAGAAGAACGUCAGUCAGCUGGAAAUCCACAGCCUGGAAGUUAUUCUGAGUGAGACACAGGAACAGCAAGAGAUGAGAAACUUCCCUGGUCCUUUAACUAGGGAAGAUUUGCACAAAGUAGAUGCUAUGGAUUUUGCCCAGAAGGAGGCAGGAGCCUGUAUUAGGGACGAAAAGCUGCAGGACAAGAGCUCUGCUGCCCUCUUGUGGAAUCUGCUGAUACUGCUCUGCAGACAGAAUGGCCAAAUAGUGGGAUCAGAUAUUGCAGAGCUGCUGAUGCAGGGCUCACGUUCAGAUGGAAGCUGGGAGCUAGAAGCCCCCACGCUCAUUGACUUCAGUGAGGGCACGGCUGCAGAAGCACCACCUCAAACAGGAGAUGACCUGCUCACGGGAACCUGCAGCUUCAGUUCUGAGACCUCGGAGAAGGCCCUGCACAGUUACACUGAGCUGCUGCUGGCUGGAAGAAAGAAGGAGGCCUUGGAGUCAGCUAUGAGCAGCGGCCUAUGGGGGCAUGCACUUUUUCUGGCCAGCAAAAUGGACAGCAGGUCCUACACCAGCGUGCUGAACAGGUUUACAGGCCAGCUAACGGCCAGUGAUCCCCUCCAGACUCUCUUCCAGCUGCUGUCUGGGAGAAUCCCUGCGGUUGCCACGUGCUGUGGAAAUGAAAAACUAGGAGACUGGAGGCCGCAUCUGGCCGUCAUGCUCUCCAAUGAGACGGGAGAUCCAGCUGUCCAGCGGAAGGCCAUCAUCACCACGGGAGACACACUGGCUUCCAGACGCCUCCUGCACGCCGCCCACGUGUGCUACCUGACAGCCGGCGUUCCCUUUGGGGCGUUCACACAGAAGGCAGAGAGACUGGUGCUUCUGGGCAGCAGCCACAGGCAACCUUUCGAAUACUUUGCCACAAACUCUGCCAUCCAGUGCACCGAGUUGUACGAAUAUUGCCUGACUCUUGGAGAAAAAAGUUUUUCAAUACCGUCCUUUCAGGUGUAUAAGUUCCUCUAUGCCAGUCGACUGCUGGAUUGUGGACUUGCCUCUCAGGCCUUCCACUACUGUGAGGUGGUUGGCCAUGCAAUCCUCCGGCAGAGGGAGCCUUUCUUUGUGCUGACUGGAGAGGUUAUUAAGCUGGCAGACAGACUGAGACACACUGAGGGUCAGUUCAGUGAGGGAGGUGUUAAUGCAGCCGGGCAGGAACCUGAUUGGCUGAGACAGCUGCAUGCUAGGCACCACAGCUUACAGACCGGGAGUUACAACUGCACUGAAACAUACCAACCAGAACCUGAGGUAUGUGCUUUGGCCCAUGAGGAUAGCAAAGUGUACUCAGGAUUGGACGACCUAAACCGUGACAUCCUGAGUCCUGAGCCUGAACUCCUUUACUUCAGAGGCAAUGAGGAUCAAGAAAGCCUCCUGAAUCAAACUGAAGCAAGCACUGAGGAAAUGUUAUCAUCAAACAUCACAGCAGCUCAGCACUGGCCAGGAGCCAGUCCUCCGCUUCCAGUCGCUGUGGUCAAUGCUCCCCCACUGUCCAAAGUGGCCCAGAGUCAAGACUUCAGUUAUCAUAACACAGAUAGUGCUGAAGUCAGAAGUGCCUUGACACAUUGUCCACUGAGUGAUGUGCCUUCAGCAGGAGGGGGGGCCUGGUCUUUCUCUGGAACCGAUAUGAUGCCCGAGGCUGACAUCAGUCACCAGGGAUAUGACCAGCAGAGCACGCCAGACCGUUUCAAGCCCUCUGAGCAGACGAACCAGCCCCCGGAACAGGGCACCAAGGUUGGGUGGUUCAGUGGCUGGUUCAAAUCCAAACCCAAAGAUGUCCAAAAGGAGAGUUCAGAGCAGAGGAGCACAGCUCAGACGGAGCAACCACCCACCACUGGCAUCUGUCGUCCUCCACCUGCUGCAAUGGUCUCUCUCAACUCGUUUCCAUCCCAGCCCUCUUCUGCUGCGAUCAAUCCCUUCUCAAGGAAAGCAGCAGGUCAGCAGCUGGGGUAGGAACCAUGGGAAGACCACUAUUCUACAUCUCAGGUAAAUUAAGCACCAUUCGGAUAAACACAUAUGUAUCAUAAGGCGUAUUCAGACAUGAACUCUGCAGAGUGUGCGCUGAUUUGGAUCCAGACUUUCUCCGGAGUUUGUCCGUUACACAUGAAUAACACAGCUGGAGAUUCUCCGCUCAGACGUGAUCACAUCAGCACACAAAUCUCUGGAGCAUUCAGGAGCAGUGACUGCAAAGGGAGGCUCUCACACCUCAUCAGUAAAUAAAAGUCUCAUAAGGGAAUUACCUGAGUUCAGAAGAACAGCAUCAAAGUCAAUUCCACUCAUUACUGCCCACAUUUUUUUUUAAGGAUGUCCUUUCAAACCCCCACAGCUUGCUCACCAUCAUGUGGCAUAUUAGAUACAGAAAUACUCUGAAGGUACUGGCACAGCAACUCGUAUUACAGAGACUGAAGCAGCUGAGGAGGGCAUCCCAAAAGCUGACAGUGGGGAAAUUACCAAUGAUUGCAGGACAUGCUGGAUGAAAGGGAUACCUUAAUUAAUCUUAGAAACUGUGUCUGCAUUAGGCAGCACUGAGGGAAGCUUUAAUGUGGUGGUAUGUAUGUAACUGCCCACUGAGUAUCAGUGUCAUCAGACUCUCACAACUCACAUCUCUUUGAAAUGAUUAUCCUUAACACCGUAAAUGCUUAAAUAGAAUACCUAUGAGCUAAAUUAAAGUUAUCUUCAAAAGUCCAUCAUUCUCAUUUUAUCUCAUCUUUUUUUAUGGUAAAAUAUUAAACACAAUUAAGCUGUGCAUGAAAAAACACAUUAAAACAGAACAAAUGUAAUAUAAUGCUAUGAUCAUUGGCUGGACAGAAGACGAGUUUGUAGUCUGAUUGACGAGUAAAUCAUUGCACAAUGUGAGCAAUAUAAUUUUAGUUAUAAUAAUAUAUAGCACAUAUCUUUAAAGAUUGUAAGAGCAUGUUGGCAUGCUGCCAAGUCUGAUGAUACCACAUGGUUGAGGGGGAGGGGGGAGGGGGGACCAAGGUAAAGAUCUCUGCUAGUCUAAUGAUAAAUGCCCUACCUUCCUUUGAGAAGAGGCCUUUACAGCCCUGUUAUAUUAAUGUGCAUGGGGACAAAUCUACUGGAGGCUCUUUAAAAUGUAUAUAUAACCCAUACAGCAGUAAUAUAUAAUUUUAUAACAUUUUUUUAAUACCCUGUCACCUUGAAAACAUGUUUUGAUGUAAUUGAGAUGUGUGUUUUUUUUACCACCUCCAUAUGACUUUGUGCCUUAUGUAUUAUACCUGAAUGCUUUUUGUAUAUCUGAAACAGCACAUGAACAGUCUCGAUUAUAAAUCUAUUAUAUAUAUAUAUAUAUAAAUAUA